UCCUGGUUAACCCAGGCAGUCUCGUUAGAGUUCCCACCAUUACGUGUUGGCAACUAACGAUAAGGGUUGCGCUCGUUGCGGGACUUAACCCAACACCUCACGGCACGAGCUGACGACAGCCAUGCAGCACCUGUGUACAGGCCCCGAAGGGAAUAUCUAUUUCUAGAUACGUCCUGUACAUGUCAAGUCUGGGUAAGGUUCUUCGCGUUGCAUCGAAUUAAACCACAUGCUCCACUGCUUGUGCGGGUCCCCGUCAAUUCUUUUGAGUUUCACCCUUGCGAGCGUACUCCCCAGGCGGUAUACUUAACACGUUAGCUACGGCACAACUGGGGUUGAGUCCAGUUACACCAAGUAUACAUCGUUUACGGCAAGGACUAC
rnacentral:misc_RNA from 1 species